CAUGACGAUGAACACAAGGGCGAGCAGUCCAAUCACCGUCGCCAAGCCGAUCAGGACCUCCAUUUGAGUGUUGUUCUUGUCAGCUGGAAGGACAGUAAAGAGUGACGGUCGGCCAUGAGGAUGAUGGGAAGGAGUCGCGGAUGUGAGCUGUAAUGCAGUCGAGCCGGCACAUCCUCUUUUUUAUACACAUGAAGGUUGGGAGUUUCAAUAUCCCGGUCAUAAUCCCAGCGGAAACCAUCGAAGGAGAUGAGCAGCAGUUUCUUUCUGGGAGACCCGUUGAAGACAGAAUGUUGCCCCGAAGUCCCCCCCGAGUCCCACGCUGGGGCAGGAGUGCAAAGGGGGAAAAAAAUGCCGCAUAAUACAACACAGAGCAACAACUGGUCUGCAGGCGGGUCAGCCAACCGCAGCCCAUUCCCCCACUUCAGCACGGAGAAAACUCAUCUACAUCUCCCUACCGGGACGCGUGCACGUCUAUGCACACGCGUGGGUAUGUGCACACACACCAAACCACCCGCCCAUCCACACGCAGUACAAACGCUGCCGAUGGAAUUACUACAGACAACGUUCUUCCUCACAAGCGCGAGUUUCUUCCCAUUCAUCAUCUUUGCGUUGGAAAAGUACCGAGAUGGGCCCAAAACAGCCCAUUAAUAUUAGUAGUCACAUUUGUUGUAAAUGAUGCGUUAGAUGCACUGAACUUAAAAACUAGAGCAGAUUUUAUGAGACGCUAGAGGAUGAUUUAUUUCCAAAACUCCCUUUAAUAAAUGUACACCCCAUUUCUAUGUUUAGGAUUUUGCUUUUAAUUAAGAAAACAUUUCACUUUUUUUUUUCAUGUGCUUUUAAAAACAAACCUGACCGUUGAUAAAUGGUGAAGAAAACUCCUGCCAAAACGUACCUUCUUCCAUUUCAGUAAUUAUUUAUUCUAUUCAUUUUUUUCAUGGAUUAAUAACAUCCGAUGGUCCCUCUCUGCUGCAAGCAGCUCUGUGUCAUAGUUAUGGGAAAGAGAGGGCUAAUUACCUGAAAUGUGAAGACAGAACAUGGUCGAGAUCUGAUGAGCUGCUGCUCAUUAGUGUGAAUAAAAAUCGUAUGGAUAUUUACCGGUUCAUAUAAAAUGAGCUGUCACAUGGCCUCAAACCAAACACAAAAAAGCUAACGUUGAAAACAACCGUGUCCAUUAGUGGAGCUGGGGUGAUAUGGAAAAAUCAACCAUUAUUUUUAAUAUAUCAGCAAAAUAAUGACUGGUGGUGGUUGGCUGCAAGUGUAGUUAAAAAA